rnacentral:rRNA from 1 species
CACUCCUGCGGGAGGCAGCAGUGGGGAAUUUUGGACAAUGGGCGAAAGCCUGAUCCAGCAAUGCCGCGUGAGUGAAGAAGGCCUUCGGGUUGUAAAGCUCUUUUGUCAGGGAAGAAACGGUGAAAGCUAAUAUCUUUUGCUAAUGACGGUACCUGAAGAAUAAGCACCGGCUAACUACGUGCCAGCAGCCGCGGUAAUACGUAGGGUGCAAGCGUUAAUCGGAAUUACUGGGCGUAAAGCGUGCGCAGGCGGUUUUGUAAGUCUGAUGUGAAAUCCCCGGGCUCAACCUGGGAAUUGCAUUGGAGACUGCAAGGCUAGAAUCUGGCAGAGGGGGGUAGAAUUCCACGUGUAGCAGUGAAAUGCGUAGAUAUGUGGAGGAACACCGAUGGCGAAGGCAGCCCCCUGGGUCAAGAUUGACGCUCAUGCACGAAAGCGUGGGGAGCAAACAGGAUUAGAUACCCCAGUAGUCCCAUGAU